UCCCUGGUGGUCCAGUGAUUAAGACUCUGCGCUUCUACUGCAGGGGCACGGGUUCAGCCCUGGUCAGGGAA
rnacentral:tRNA from 1 species